rnacentral:lncRNA from 1 species
UUGCUGUGUAUAUUGGCUUCAGUAGGUUCAGAUUUACUGUUUGGAGUAGGAUGCACCUAGAUGAAAUUUAUCGACCUCGAUAGAAAAGGAGAAGUCCUAUGUAAUUUGCGAGAUUGAGUUCAGAAAGUCUUUAACCAAAGCAAGUAUGAAUACUGAAAAAGAGUUUCUAUGAGAUUCACAAAUGAACUCAAGUCGAGCU